AUGACGGCUUCUCUGAUGGAUCUUUCAUCACCCCAUCUCCCCUCCAACUUCCAUUUCUACCCUUCUUCUUCAGCUCAGCCCUUGGGCGCUCACAAGACCGGGGAACACCAACCGCCCCUGCCCCCUCCUCCCCGGCCCCCACGGGCGACAUCCCAGACUCACUACGUCCUCCCGGCCGACCCUAGGAUCGACGGCCCAAGUUCCUAUUUUGGGAGGUUCUUUCCGGUCUGGUUAUCUCCCGCUCUCCCCCCCGCCCCGCCCUCCCCCUCAGUCUCCUUCCUGAGGUGGCAGCUCAGCCUCCAGAGAAGAGUUCGAGACUCGGAGAGAUCCCUCGGUUUCAGACCCCGCCGACGCCCCGACCCCGAAAGCCGCUGGACCCGCAAGCUGGAGAACCACAAGCUGUGACCUCCCUGACCCCCCAUCGGCCUUGGGGAUUAGCAGAAAGAGAAGGAGCAUCGCCUAGUGGAAAGGUAGGCCUGACAGGCGGCGGACCUGUGUUCUAAUUCUGAUCCACUGCCUGCUGUGGGACCCUAGGCAAGUCACUUCACUGCUCCUCCUCCCCUCCCCUUCACCUCCUUCCGCCCUCUGCUCUUCCCCCUUCCCCUCCCCUCAGCACUGUGCUUAUUUUUAUAUAUUAUUUAUCACCCUAUUUAUUUUGUUAAUGAGGUGUAUAUCUCCACGAGCCUAUUUAUCUUGAUGAUGUGGUCUUGUUUUGUUUUGUUCUGUUUUGCUUUGCUGCCUGUCUCCCCUGCUGAGACCGUGAUCCCGUCAUUGGGCAGGGAUGGUCCCUAUCUGUUGCUGAAUUGUCCAUUCCGAGCGCUUCGUACAGUGCUCUGCGCCUAGUAAGCGCUCAAUAAAUACUAUUGAAUGAAUGAACGUCACUUCUCUGGGCCUCAGUCACCUCGUCUGUAAAAUGGGGAUUAAGACUGUGAGCCCCAUGACAGACUUGAACUGUGUCCAACCCGAUUAUCUUUUAUUCAUUCAUUCACUCCUCCAAUCGUAUUUAUUGAGUGCUUACUGUGUGCAGAGCACUGUACUGAGCGCUGGGAAUGUACAAUCGGGCAACAGAGAGAGACGAUCCCUGCCCAACCACGGGUUCACCAAGGGGGAGACGGGCUCACAGUCUAAAAGGGGGAGAGAGCCGGAGCUUAGUACAGUGUCUGGCCCAUAGUAAGCGCUUGAAAGAUAGAAAGGAAAAAGAUCGAUUGAGAUAAAUUAAAAGAGAAAUUGAUCGAUUGAGAUGAAUUAAAAGACUGAGAUAAAUUAAAAGAGAAAAAAAAUGAGAGAGCGGCUGUUCCCCCGGCGUCCACAAGGCGGCGCAGUGGCCCCGCGGGACCGCACGUUCAUUCAUUCAUUCAAUAGUAUUUAUUGAACGCUUGCUAUGUGCAGAGCACUGGACUAAGCGCUUGGAAUGGACAAAUCGGCAACAGAUAGAGACAGUCCCUGCCCUUUGAUGGGCUUACAAUCUACUCGGGGAAGACAAGAACAACGGCAAUAAAUAGAGUCAAGGGGAAGAUCAUCUCAUUUAAACAAUGUACAUCUCAUUAAACAAAAUAAAUAGGGUGAUGAACCGCACGUGGUUGUCGGAUCGCGGUUUGGGCCGAACCUGCGCCGGUCGAAUCGUGAGGUUUCCUAGAUUUGGCCGGGGGUCGACCCUGGACAAUCCGUCAGUCAGACAGUCCUGUGUGCUGAGCACUGUUCUAAGCAUUUGAGAGAGUGCAAUAGAACGUAAACAGAGAGGUGAAGUGACUUGCCCCAGGUCACCGCCUCCAAGAGGCCUUCCCACAUUGAGCUUCCCCUUUUCCCUCUGCUCCCUCGCUGCCCCCCCUUCACCUCCCCUCAGCUAAGUCCCCUUUCCCUCCUUUCCCUGCUCCUCCCCCUCUCCCUUCCCCUCAGCCCUGUGCUCAUUUGGAUAUAUUUUUAUUGCCCUAUUUAUUUUAUUACCCUAUUUAUUUUGUUAAUGAGGUGUCCAUCCCCUUGAUUCUAUUUAUUGCGAUUAGGUUGUCUUGCUUUUGUCCGUCUGUCUCCCCCGAUUAGACCGUGAGCCCAUCGGUGGGCAGGGACUGUCUCUAUCUGUUGCCCAGUUGUCCAUUCCAAGCGCUUAGUACAGCGCUCUGCACAUAGUGAGCGCUCAAUAAAUACUACCGAAUGAAUGAAUUCCCUGCCCCCAGCGAGCUAAUAGUCUGGAAGGGAAGACAGACAUUAAUAGAAAUCAGUGUGACAGAUAAGGACGUAAGUGCUCUGGGGGGGAGGGGGGGCUGGGAUGGGGGAAGAGCAAAGGGAGCGAGCCAAGGUGACGCCCAAGGGAGAGGGAGAUGGAGAAAGAUGGGGCUCAGUCAGGGAAGGCCUCUGGGAGGAGGAGGGCCUUCAGUAAAGCUUUGAAGAGUCAUCGUCU
rnacentral:lncRNA from 1 species